UUAUUACUAUCCGAAGCGAUUGGAUCAAGUACUAUUUGUGGAUGCACCUUUUGUUUUUAAGCCAAUUUGGCAGCUAGCCAAACCCUUGUUAAAAUCAUAUGCUUCCCUGGUAAGAUUUUGCUCUGCAGAAACUGUUAGGAAGGAAUAUUUUACAGAAGAAACUUUGCCACCAAACUUCAGAGAUUGAAAAUUGGAUGGAAUAAAAAAUUGCAGCAAAAGUUGCAAACACACUCGUAUUAAGCGCGUUUAUCUUGGGGACUUAGAAGAAACACAACAUUUAUUUCGUCAAAAACUUAGAAGAGCUAAAGGAAGGAAUUUGAUAAAAGCAGUGCUGAUAUAGGCACCCUUAAUGUUAAAAGCUUAAAGUAGCUAAAGAAAGGAAUUUAAGAAAAACAGUGCUGAUAUGUAGGAAUAUGAAACCAAAAGAAAAAAAAUCGUUUUCAGUUAAUUACUUGCGUUUUGGAAUUUUGUCAUGUGUUCUGUCUAAUUUCUGUUGUACAAGCGGUACAAACUUGUGUUUUAAAUGCAUAUUAUUUUAAUUUUUUAUGGGUCA